UACAGAGGGGGCAAGCGUUGUUCGGAAUUACUGGGCGUAAAGGGCGCGUAGGCGGCCUCUUAAGUCGAACGUGAAGUCCCCGGGCUCAACCCGGGAACUGCGUCCGAUACUGGGAGGCUUGAAUCCGGGAGAGGGAUGUGGAAUUCCAGGUGUAGCGGUGAAAUGCGUAGAUAUCUGGAGGAACACCGGUGGCGAAGGCGGCAUCCUGGACCGGUAUUGACGCUGAGGCGCGAAAGCUAGGGGAGCAAACGGG
rnacentral:rRNA from 1 species